rnacentral:rRNA from 1 species
CCUACGGGUGGCAGCAGUGAGGAAUAUUGGUCAAUGGGCGGGAGCCUGAACCAGCCAAGUCGCGUGAGGGAAGACGGUCCUAUGGAUUGUAAACCUCUUUAGGCGGGGAGCAAUGCCGGGCACGCGUGCCCGGAGGGAGAGUACCCGCAGAAUAAGCAUCGGCUAACUCCGUGCCGGCAGCCGCGGUAAUACGGAGGAUGCGAGCUUUAUCCGGAUUUAUUGGGUUUAAAGGGUGCGUAGGCGGAUUUUUAAGUCAGCGGUAAAAUGUCCGGGCUCAACCCGGGCCGGCCGUUGAAACUGGUGAUCUUGAGGGGGCGAGAAGUAUGCGGAAUGCGUGGUGUAGCGGGGAAAUGCAUAGAUAUCACGCAGAACUCCGAUUGCGAAGGCAGCAUACCGGCGCCCGACUGACGCUGAGGCACGAAAGCGUGGGGAUCGAACAGGAUUAGAUACCCGGGUAGUC